ensembl:lncRNA
CCACCACAGACGCGAUGUGUCUCGUCCUGUCUGGUUUUGCCUCGCCUCGUUCCCUUUCAAGGAAAUUCUAGUAUCAGUUUUCUCAAUUAUAUCCUCGAGCCUGUUUAUAGUUUUUGGUUUUCCUCCUAAUGGAGCGAUUUUGAGUUUUUGAUCAUGUUUGAAUAAAGACUGCCUAUUCUGUUCAUCCUUCUGCUCCGGAGUCCUCGCUUAAAUCAAUCAAUUUUGUUGCAAUCCAGGAGUAAAGAGAACAUGGGAGCAAGUCAAAACACAAAAAUAUUAUCCAGAAUGCAAACAGAAAGAGGGCUGAAAUGGUCAAGACGGGGGGGGACCUAAGGCCCCAGACUAUACACCCACCGAGGAGCUGGCACUCCAGCAAAAUAAGGAUAGACCAAUCAUGGAGGGCAUAGCUGGGGGAAGGUCCCCUUGCGAGGCUGGCAGCACUGCGAG